rfam:Myotis brandtii contig286806, whole genome shotgun sequence.
GGAAGGUCUCAGGUGAUACACCCUGGAAUCGGGCUCCCUCCUCUCUGGUUAUGGGUGUGUUAUUCGAGAACCUCA